rnacentral:lncRNA from 1 species
AUGAAUUGGAUUAUGAUCCAAAAUGUACCACUACUACUACAAACACAACUACAACUACAAAUACAAAUAAAAAUACAAAUAAAAAAUACAACUACAAAUACAGUUACAAAUUUGUUUGAUUCAAAUGAAAAUGUAUCGAUUGAUAGUGUUAUGUCAUCGCAUGGACAUAUUUCUAUCUCUACCAAUUCUAAUGAAUAUAAUGACUUCAACGAAAUAGAGAGUAAUUUACAUAUGGAUAACAUACACAAUGGAUUUAAUAGUAGUAAAAAAAAUUAUAUUAAUAAUAUAAUACCACCAAUUAAUAAUAAAAAGAUUACAAAUCCUAAUUUUAUACCUUUAGGAAAAAAUAAAAAUUUAUUUACUGAUCCAUUAUUAAAUACAAAAAACAUAUAUGAUCCUACAAAAGUUCUAAAUGUUGAAAAUGGAAUUGAUACAAAUACGAAUAUAAUAAAUAAUAUAAAUAAUAAUAAUGAAAACAUAAAUCCUGAUAUACAUAUCAAUAUAAAUAACAACUUUCCCAAUAUAAAGAAUAACUUUCCCAAUAUAAAUAACAGCUAUGGUAAUAUGACUGCAAAUACUAUGUCAGUGGCACCACCAUUAGGACCUCCACCCCUACCUAUGUUUCCAAACUUUUUUAAUUUACCAUUUAUGAAUAAUGCAGUUGUACCUACAAACGAAAUGUUACCUUUUCAGAAUGCCCAACAGUUACCAUUAACUCAGCCAAUGGGCAUUGACCCCGUGUUUAUGCAAGAAUGGUCACAAAUGCUCAUGAAUUAUUCGGAAAAUCUUUUAUCCCACGCACCUGCUCCCGAUACUAACCCUCCUCCUCUACCAUCAGAAAAUAUAAACAAUGAUGAUGAACAAAAUGUCACGUAAAAAAAAAAAAAAAAAAAAAAAAAAAAAAAAAAAAAAAAAAAAAAAGCUAAGGCGAUCUGGCUACAACAAGAUAUCGCGAGAUUAUAUAUAAAUAUAUAUACACACAUAGACUAAUUAAAUAAUUCAUGGUUCCUUUAUUUACAUAGGAAAAAAAAAAAAAAACAUACACACAUACAUACAUACAUACAUACAUACAUACAUAUACAUACGUACGAAAACAUCAAUGACUAUUUUUACGCUUUCGCUUUUUUUCUUUCUGUUAAAUGCUCUAAUAGCUUAAUUUUGAUUUUUUAGUACAUAUAUACAACAUUUUUGAAAUAUUCAUAUAUAUAUAUAUAUAUAUAUAUAUAUAUAGCGUUACUGCUAUUGCCACUAUACCAACAAAACAUUACUACCAUUAUUAGCAUUGUAUAGUAUUCAUGUUAGUAAUGUAUAAUACAAAAUUUUGUUUAGUUAUAGUUAACACACGACAAUGGAGAUCCCUAUCAUUUUAACGGUUUUAGUAACAUGUUAAUAAUUUGUUUUGAAACUUUUUUUUUUUAUUUCAUUUACUAAAUUUAUGUUUUUAUAUAUAGUAGGAAAUUUAGUAUAUAACCAACAGUAUAAAUCUACAAUUUCGUAAUAAACUUCCAACAUUUUAAUAUAGUUAUCCA